UUGCAUCUGGUAGGACAAUGGCCUGUAUUUUCUUCUCCUGUCCACACGUGGAAGCUACACUGACAACAGCAAGAGCUGCUCAGAGAUAGAUGCAAAAUUUGGCUCAGUCAGUGCAAAAUUCAGCCUGAUUUUUAAAAGUAAAUAAUCCAGUUAACAUCUAGUGAAGAGCAAACCAGCUAGUGGAUUUGGAAGUUUCCUUCAGAAUUUCUUGAAAUUUUCCUUUGAAAUUUCCAGCCCAGAGUAUGAAGUAAUUCCAGACUCUAAUGAGCUUCAGAGGCCUCUCUGGCUGUAAAUAAGAACCAAAAUAAUUGUCUAUAUUGGUUCCAGGACCUUCUUAGGCAGUAGAUAAUUUAUUGUUUGUUAUGCCCUAUGUCCUGGUUUUCCCUCAGUGACUGAUGUGUUCUCUUCUUUUUUCAGAUGGAUUUUCUAAUAUUCACCUUUCUUCAAAAUGAUCCUGAAAGAUGAGUCAGAAAUCCCAUAACUGCUUUCCAUAGGGGGACGCUGGGGCCCAGAAAGGUUAAGCAAAUUCCCUACCAGGGCAUCAGAGGAACUCUAGGUUCUCAAGUGGUUAUGGAAAUCUAGUCAAAAUGGAAUGAAACUUCUGCUUCCUUAGGUUAUCUUUCCUGUUUGUUUAAAAUUAGAUCCUUUCUAUUUUAUCAGUUCCUAGGAGAUUGUUUUUGACACAUGUCAAUUUGGAGUCCCCUCUCAUUGGAACCAGUUUUCUCCAGGACACCCCAGUCAUUGGUUAUGAGGCCUCUCCUCCUCAUAUAAACAUAGCCCUCAGGACUUGCCUGGUGGUCCGGUGGGUAAGACUCCAAGCUCCCAAUGCAGGGGGCCUGGGUUCGAUCCCUGGUUGGGGAACUAGAUCUCAGCAUGCAUGCUGCAACUAAGACCUGGCACAGCCUAAAUAAAUAAGUAAAUAAAUAUUAAAAAGAAAAGAAACCUAGCCUUUUAAAAAUAAUAAAAAUUAAAAAAUACAGCCCUCUUCUGGCCAAGCAGGCCAUUGCUGAUCAAUGUCACCAAUAUUACCCAGAGGAUGUAGAGUGACCCGUUUAAUUGCUGGCCCUGGAGUGUAUUGUCUAUGAAACCCAUGUAUUCAGGGGUUUUUCGCUUAGUAAAGCUAUUUGAACAUAUUUACUCUCAGAGUUUUAUUAUUUACUUUUAGAUUCCAAGAUAUUUUGAUCAUCUGAAUUGAGAAAGAAAGAUUUAACCUUGAGAAAGGAGAAAAAGUAGAAAGAGAGUUACGGGUUUUGUGAAUUUUAGAUUUUCCCAGGGAAAAAGUUGAAAAGGGGACAAUUCUAUUUUUAGGCGCACAAAAUUCUUGAGCCAUAUGAUGUACUUCCGUUUUCAUAGAGUGAAGUUAGAAGGACUCUAAGAGAUUUUUUUUGUCCAACCUCUCCACCUUACAGAUGAAGAAAUUGAAUUCAAUACGCGGGCCUCUCACUGUUGUGGCCUCUCCUGUUGCGGAGCACAGGCUCCGGACGCGCAGGCUCAGUGUCCGGUCGCGCAGGCUCAGCGGCCAUGGCUCACGGGCCCAGCUGCUCUGCGGCACGUGGGAUCUUCCCGGACCGGGGCACGAACCCGCGUCCCCCGCAUCGGCAGGCGGACUCCCAACCACUGUGCCACCAGGGUGGAAGAGUGGCAGUGAGAGGGAAAAGAUGGCCUGAGCAGACUGGCAGAAGCUAGGGGAGGCACGGCAGCCCCAGCCAGCUCUGGACCACGUUCCAGUCCCAGGGAAAAAGCAGGGACCAGGCGGGCACACUGACCAUAAACACGGGGAACCUACAGCUUAGUGCACACCUGGGUCAAUCCCACCAUCUGGGGGCCAGAUGUGGGUGCAGCAGGCAAAUUCCAAGCCCACUAAUAAGCAAAGAACUCCCUAUAAUGCCACGUGUAGCCUUCGGAGGCUCAGGACUGAGAAAUGCAGAAUGAUCAAGUGCUUGGCCGUUGUUCCAGAGGCCAGACAGGAUUGACGCCAGCAGGAACUGACAUGUCUGCAUGUUGUUGGCUGAGGACCCCAAAAGCCCAAGGUAAGGGUAAGGGCUCAUUAGGAGGCAGGGGCCUAACUGGAUUCUGUUUACUCUUAACUGGUUAAGUUUGCAUUGCCAGAUUAAGUUACUGAUUAAGCCCACAGAUGUACCCCUAGCCCCCCCCCACACACAUUUUUUUGUCUUCUAUUCUCUAUUUGUAAUUCUUUCUGGCUGUCGCUGCUCCUCUCCUGGUUUUAUGCCAUUAUGAUGUGUGGAAAACAUCAGAAGACCUCUCUACAGUGUCUUAAAAUGCCUGAGUACAAAGAUGAACAAAAAAUCUAUCAAAGCUGGUUUUGGACUCAAUACUGUGAUGUGUCAUUUCCAAAGGUCAGAAAGCUGAGUGCUAAAGUGACCAAGUUUCCAAGCCCUCUGGAUUUGCCAUCUUUUGGCAUUUCCAUAAGUUUUCUGGCCCCUAAAGGAAUCGCUGAUUUCUCUUUCCUGACUGUCUUUUAAUCUCAGCUGUCCUGAGCAGAGCUUCCCCAAUUCUGGACAGGACCAGCUGGUCAGCCCUCUCCUCUCUGGGGCUCCUGAGUUUUCUUCCUCUGUAUGCGGAGAUGUACAGUUCAGAAGGUCAGCCAGGGGUUGGUGUGACGGAUCCAGCCAAGGGCUCUGCUCAGUUUCCACCAUGCGGCUCAGAAACAAAGCAGCCACGACGAGUAUUGCCAAGACCAUGUGCUGGGAGCCAGGAGUAGAUGAAUUCCCGGUGUGAGUAAGGAAAACAGCACCCGAGUUUGCUGCGACUGUGAUUAACAUUCAGGAUUCCUCCGGUAGAAGGCCCCUCCUGAGAAACCAUAACAUUUGCAGAAGUGGAUUCAAGCAAACCCCAGUGGUUUUCAAUCUCAGUCUCUUUCUCUCGCAGGCCCUCUCUCUCUUUUCCCUUUCUUUGGCAGCAAAUCCUUAUGUUCAAAUAUACAUUUUAAAUAAAAACCA